GUCUGGGUGGUGUAGUUGGUUAUCACGCUAGUCUCACACACUAGAGGUCCCCAGUUACAACAUUUUGGAANUCUCCAGUUCGAACCUGGGCUCAGACA